CCUACGGGAGGCAGCAGUGAGGAAUAUUGGUCAAUGGGCGAGAGCCCGAACCAGCCAAGUCGCGUGAGGGAGUACUGCCCUAUGGGUUGUAAACCUCUUUUGUCGGGGAGCAAAAGCCGGACGUGUCCGGCUGUGAGAGUACCCGAAGAAAAAGCAUCGGCUAACUCCGUGCCAGCAGCCGCGGUAAUACGGGGGAUGCGAGCGUUAUCCGGAUUUAUUGGGGUAAAAGGGGGCGCAGGCGGAUUUUUAAGUCAGCGGUCAAAUCGUGGGGCUCAACCCCAUCCAGCCGUUGAAACUGGGGAUCUAGAGUGUGCGAGAGGUAUGCGGAAUGCGUGGUGUAGCGGUGAAAUGCAUAGAUAUCACGCAGAACCCCGAUUGCGAAGGCAGCAUACCGGUGCACAACUGACGCUCAGGCACGAAAGCGUGGGUAUCGAACAGGAUUAGAUACCCCGGUAGUC
rnacentral:rRNA from 1 species